rnacentral:lncRNA from 1 species
UGGAAAUGGGAGUUUUUUCCUUUCCCAAUAAAUGGUUGGUUGGUAAGGAUAAAAUAUGGGGCUUCUUCCCUUUUUUGCAUUUUAAAAUACACAUGUGGCCAAAAAGUAAAAUUGAUUUAAUGAGUGGUUAAUGUUCAUUCUACAAGUAUGAGUUGAGUUUGAAAAGUCAAAGUAUCAUCCUAUCACCACACUUACAUUAUUUUUAAUCUAAUAUUUAAUCAUAAACAUGUUGUAAGGCCCAAAUUUUU